UUUUCAGACGUUUCUAAGGCGUGGCUUCAAUGUUUGUUUUCAAAAUUACAACAGUACAAUGGUUAAAUUUUGAAAAUAAACGUUGAAGCCACGCCUUAGAAAUGUCUGAAACAUC
rnacentral:miRNA from 1 species